UGCUUGAUGGUGCCGCCGUCCGUCACCUACAAGACAGCACAGAGGCAGCUACAGGGGAGCGCUCGGCCGGCCUCACCCCUUUCCCCCAGACAGAGCGCGGAUGGACGCAGGGACACUGGAGAUGCAGAGCCAGGACGCCCGGCCCCCGGGGACCCUGGGCGAGGCCGCCAGGAGACACGUCACUGCCAUCACCAGAACGCUCCCAGGUCAUCCCCACUCUGCUGAUGAGUAAGCCGAGGCUCUGGAGCAAAGUGACUUCCCAAGGUCCCACGCCGGGAAGGAGCACAGCUGGCUCUCCUCUCUGACAAUAAUUUCUGGUAAAUUCUGUAAAGGGUAGGCACAGAAUGGCAGGGGAGCCCAGGCAGCCCCCGUCUGGGGAUAGGGUAGUCACAGAGGGCUUCCUAGAGGAAGGGAUGUCUAAGUUGCCUUCUGAAGGGAGAACAGGAGACAGGCAGCCUGGCAAAAGGUGGGAGAGCUCUGUAAGCAGAGGAGACAGCAGGAGCAAAGGCCCUGUGGUAGGAAAGAGCAGGUAUGCUCAGGGAAAGAGGAUUGUGCUCGGCGUGCCCGGUAGGCAAGGGAACUCAACUGUCCCUGCAGGCAACGUGGAGGGGGUCACCUUGGAUUCCAUUUACAGGUUCCUUCAGGCCGUAGGGUGAGGAUGAUUGGAGGGGCCUGUCUGGGGGCAGGGGGCUCUUAAGAAGGCUGGAGAGAACCCACUCUACUGUCACGGGGCGGAGGGAAGAGGACAGCUUGGGGGCUCCCUCUCCUCCAGCUACCCUGGGGACGGGAGGGAGGUCACGAGGCCCCCACCUCCCCAAGCACACGGAGGCCCAGAGAAGUCAGGGGACCUCCGGAGGUGACAAGAAAGCCUAUAAUGGAAAACAAAGGCUGUUCCGGUGCCCAGCUGCUAGCGGCUGAUUGAAAGCCGGACCCAAGCGUCCCGCGUUCCAGCUCCCCGCCCGCCGCAUCCUCUCGCCUGCGCUGCCUCCAGCUAAUGAAAGUGUUACUCCACAAAGCAGCAAGGGUCCCUGCGGAGGGAACGGCAGAGACAACAGGUGGCCCGUUUUGCAGAUGAAGAAACUGUGGCUUGGAGAGGAAAGGAGAUUUAGCCACGGUCCCACGUGGGGCUAAUGGCAGGGCUCUGGCUCCCACGGGGCGGGCCCCCAGGGGCUGAGGACAAACCAGCCCCCCCUCCCCCCCCCCCCCAGCCCCCACGACCCUCCGCUGUCAGCAGGAGGAUGCCCGGAGCCCAGCGGAGGUUUGAGGAAUUUUCUCCCGAAGUCAUAAAAGUGGAAGGCGUCCUGCCCAUUUGACUUGCAGCCUUGCCUCUUCUCUCAGGUACUGCUUUUUAUCUCCUCCUAAAAUGCGGCAGCCCUUAUCGUCCCAAUCUCGAAAUUCACUCCAUUUCUUUUAUUAUACAAAGGAGAAAAAAAUCUGUCGGUAAAACUGUCUCCACAAAUUUAUUCGCCGGGACUGAGGGUUUUAUUACUAGGAAAAUACACCUGCACCCCACACGUCCACACAUUCCCACACACCCCAGAUAAAGCACGGAAGAAUUAUCUGAGUCGUAAAUCACUGUUUCAGGCCGAGGGACAGGGGAGUUUCAAGGACGCACCUAGUUUUCCUUUGGUUUUAUUUACAUCUUUUUUUUUUUUUUUUUUCCCCUGGGGCCAAGUCUGGGGCCUUCCUGUCAGCCUAGGAGGAAAUAACUGCUUCCCAUUAAAGCAGCCUGGGACAGCCAGAGCCCGAGGCUUGUGAUGUCCCUUCCCUGGGGCUCAGGGAAGGCUCUGGAAAGGGACUGCCUUGGAACACACCGUCAGGCCCCAGGCCAUGGGCCAGUGGCUAUUUGCAAGGAGGAUAUUCUGUGGUUCUUGGUGACAGCAGUCCCUGAGGUGAGGCUGGGUGGGGGGAGAGGGGUUAUCACAGGCCAUGGGUGGGCAGCGGGUGUGAUGAGUGACACCUUCUCUUUAAUUCUGGAAACAUGUUCCAGGCCUAAGACUUUCAGGCACUGUUCCAGGCCCCGGGGGAGAGGACGAACCACAUUUCAGAGGUGGCCGCAGUCCGUCUGGUGGGGAUACACAGCCCACAAGGACCUGAGACAGCAGAGCCAGGGAAGGCGAGGCUGUAGCAAAGAUACUUGCCAACUGUGACCUGACACCCAUGGAGGGGCCAAGGAUUCUUCUGGGAGGAGGGGUGAUCACAGAAGGCUUCCGGGUGGAGGUGGGCCUCUUCAAAGGGUGCUUAGUCCCAGCCUGGUGCUCCCCGCUUGUGGGAGGCUUUCGGGCAAAGAAGCAAGGCUGAUUUUCUCCACCCCCAGUCAAAUUCUUGAUUUCUGUUACUAACUUUCUGCGCCUCACCUCUUCAAGCCUCAGCUUCCUCAUCUGUCAAAUGGGACAAUGCAACCUACCUCUGUCCCUCUCAGGAGGAUUAAAUGCGAUGACAUUUGUAACAGCA